rnacentral:sRNA from 1 species
UUAUCGCCCGAUCGUCACGCCGGCUCUGCCAGUGGUAAACGGUUCUGCUCUGCAUCAGCAACCCGCAUCCCCGCCGGACGCUGAUACGAUAAGCAUCCCGCAAAAAUGUCACCGCUUGGCGCUUCUGAGCCGGCCUC